AGGUGGAUGCCCAGCUGCAGGUGGUACAGAAGCUGGAGGAGAAGGAACACUUACUGCAGAGCAGCAUUGGAACAGGAGAGAAGGAGCUGGGGCUGCGAACACAGGACCUGGAGAUGAACAAACGCAAGGCCUGCCUGACGUGCCCAUGCUGCAACAUGCGCAAGAAGGACGCGGUGCUCACCAAGUGCUUCUAUGUCUUCUGCUUCGAGUGCGUGAAGACGCACUAUGACACCCAGCAGCGCAAGUGCCCCAAGUGCAAAGCAGCCUUUGGGGCCAAUGACUUCCACAGGAUCUACAUUGGCUGAGGCCCUCUCAGAGCCCCUGCUGGUACCAAGCCAGCCUCCCUCCCUCCCUCAGCUUCUGCUGCCUGAGCUGCAGUGUCUCCUGCGAGGGGCCUUCAGGAUCUUGAAAGAAACACGCUCUGGAUCUUGCUUCCUUUCUUGGCCCUGUCACUUUGGUCUUGCCCUCGGUUUUUGUGUGUUCCUUAUGCCUGAGAGGAAAUUUCCCAUCCCUCGCUUUCACACUGCCAAGAUGGGAACAUGCAGCUGAAGUGCUGUCUAGGUGGGAUAGAAGCUGAGCUGCAGCAGAGAUUAGUGAGAGCUUCAUUUGAGGGCUCUGCCAAUUAAAUCCCAUCAAGAAAUGGCACUGCUCCUGGGAGGGAAGAGUUUCCCAAUUAACAGGCCCAACAGAGGCCAAGGAAAUGAAUCUGUAGACUCAGUGGAGCAACUCCUUAGGUACCUGUAUAUCUAACUGAGUGUCAUGGUCUGAGCCUGGGGAAAUGCCAGUGCUUCCAUGAGAAAACCUCUUUUCCUGGAAUCUACUGUGAGAUGUGAUCAGAGACAGAGCAGAGCAGGCUCCAACUUACGAUUGAAAGGAAAAAAACUUUAUUAACAUAAAACUACAGGGAAAAAACACACAGAACACAGGAUGAAAACCUUCCAAAUUUCCUCCUCCUCCCCCCACCAAAUUUCCUAAUUCUGUUACCACCCUUUGGAUAAUCAAUUCUCAAUUCUUUGAGAAGAGAGGAGUCCCUCUUGCACCACAGACUUCACCCAGGAAACAGUCGAAAUUUCUCGUGUUUCUGUGUCACGUGUGGCACCGCCCGGAGAACAUUUUGCCAUUGUGACCUCUUCCUGCCAUGUCCAGUGCUCUCACCACUGCACAUGGACCAGAGCUGCUUCUAGGGUUUUUCCCUUUAAGGAUGCUUUGUCCAGUUCCAAAAAAGAGCACAGUCCCUCUCCCUUUGGGACACCUGUCCCCCCCAUGUUUCACCCCCUGAGGCUGAGGGGUCUCUUGAACAGAGAUCAUCUUCCUCUUCUUCUUCGAAGACAGAGGGCACCAUCACCACCCUCCUCACCCGUCGUCUCUGUUCACACACUUUUCACGUCACUGCACUCUCCUGGCUCUGAGCCCUUGCCUCCCCCUAGAAUGCAGUCUCUGUGUCACAGGAACUCAAGGGUUCUGUCCAUAGCUAUUCAAGAAAAGUCCAGCCAAAAGCCACUCCAUCAUCUCCUCCCACCUAGAAUUCUUCUCAACUUCUCUCAAUCUCACCAACUCCAGGAGGAAUCAGCAUUUGCAAGGUUUCCAUCGUCCCAAGAAGGGUUAAAAGUCCCAGGCUCUGCCGGUUUGGUUCAUGAACUCCCAAGGCUGGCUGCCCUGCUGGGCACCCCCCCCUCCUUCUCCUUCACUCCAGCCGCGCUAUCACAAGCACAGUCUGCUCUCUCUCUCUUCCUCCGGGGGGGUGGAAUGGGGGAGGGCUGCCCGAAGCCCUCGCAGUGCUCUCCACCCUUCGGCCCAGGCCUGGCCUACCUCCCUCCGGCCACAUGGCUCCUCUCCCCCCCACCGCCCAGCUCGGAGCUGGACAGGGGAGAGGUCUCCUCUGGUCCAGGGCCGGAACUCAAAAGGAGCUUCCAGUGGGAGUUCACAGUUUUUAACCCCCUGUGUUCUCAGAGGCGUAUCCAUGCCCUCAGUGGACAAACCAGGUGCCAAUAUUAAAAUCUGGACACUGAUUGGCGUGACCACACCAUCCCAAAAAGACCAUUUCCCCUCAAACCACGACACUGAGCCAGGGCAAGAACCCCUGAGGGCUGUUGCACUAGGAAACCUUUGCUGAAACACAUCUAAGUAUCCAGAAGAGGAGAAAGGAGAGAUCUUGGAGACCCUUAGAAAAUAGCAUUCUACUUAUGAGCCCUGGUUGAUGUGCUCACCUUCUGCUAGGCUGAUGUGUUGCUGUCAUUGUCCUUCUCAGAAAAGGACUUUUAGUGGUUCCUUUGCUGCAGCUUUACCUUGUUAUGUAUAAAGAUUAACCUUGUUAUGUACAAAUUCUUAAUAAAGCUCUUGUUUGGUUUA